AUUCAGAAUCAAAGUUUCUAACAUUUUCUCCUUUAGAAUCUUGUGCUGAGAAGAAAAAAGAACAAUAUUCAAAAGAAGUGACACGAUAGGAAGAAAGAGGUACCUUGGAGCUGCUUUAUCUACAUUAACUGUCAUUGCUAAUAUCCUUUGAGAUUGGAAGAUCUUCUGAGGAAGUGCCUUCUGACUUUCAAAGCAAAGAGCAGAAUUUCAUGUAAUGUUCUGUAUUUAGUUGUAUGAGCAUUUUAUUCAAGGACAGUAACACCUUAAGUGCUGUUGUGAUAUAUGUGUGUACAUACUUCAAUUUUUGUCUUUAGUUUUUCUUGUAAAUUAUCAUCCAGAUUGGUAAGAACGAGACAUUUUCAAGUACAUGACCUCCUACAAUUUUACGACAUUAACUCACCAAUCUAUACUUUUAACCAGCAAAAGAAACCAGUCGAUCACUAUGAUCCAGACUUGCUCAUUAAUUUCCUUUAAGUUUGAUGAUGAUGGCAUUCCAUCCAAGAAAUAAGUGGAAAACAAGUAGGCAAGUAAAAAUAGUGUUAAAAAUUCAAGAUAGAACCCCACAAACGACGGCACAUUGGAUGGUCUGAUGUCUUACCAAUACAAAGAACUCAAGAUAGAACUUAAUUGAAUUGUGUCUUUCCCGUAUCUGUAUCUCGUGCAUAGAGUGCACAAAAUUAUUUUAAUCGACCCUUAAAUCUCUGUUAAGCCAUAUAUACUCAUAUAUUGGGAUUUUGUUUCACAAAAGUUGGAGUACUUUGAUCAUUUGCUGGUAAGAGUUUUUGAACAUAUAGAUGAAAAUAAAAUGUACUUUCAAUUUUCAUCUUCAAUUACUGAUUGAGAAUAUAUUUUAUUUCUCUAAACCAUCCAAUAAUUUAGACUUUGUUCAUUACUGAUAUAAACAUAGUAAGUUAAAAGAUACUCAAUAAUCACGGCAUAACUAUAGAGCAACAUGCGCAGCUGAGAAAUUAUUAAAGCUUAUUGACGAGCUUUUUUAUGCACUAUAUAUGCAGGAGAAUAAAUGGAUUAAAUGAUGGGUUUGAUAAUUGAUGGUAUGUGUUAAGGAAAGAUUGCUACGGAUUUUGGAAGGUUAAUUACAUGUUGGAGAUGAUUUAAAAUUGGUUUGGGAGUUUAUUUUAAGCCUAAAAAGUGUAUUCUGUAUCGGUUCGGAUUUCUUGCUUUUGCAUAGUUGGUGCCACAUGUAUGUCAUUGGUCGGAAUUGACGUCAUUCGCGCCUUUGUAUAUGUUAUAUGUUUCUCUCUUUUACUAUGAUGGGUUUUGAGGCUUACAUGAUUCUUCACAUGCAUAUUGUGAUUAAGUUUAGGCCUCAUAAGCAUUGUGGGCAAGGUGUCCUUCGUUAUGUUGAUUUGCUUAUUGCACCAUAGUUGUGCUUGUCCUUCUUGGUAUUGUUUUAUUCUAAUCAUUUUUUCCCACAAUUAUAUUUUCGUGCACUCGGUUAUGCUUGAUAUUGACUCACAUGUGAUCAGUGAUCCCAAGUAUUAUGGCUCAAUGGGUACCCUAUGUGGAUUGAUAUGAUAAAAUCGGGUUGCACGCUGCAAUAGUAUAGUGAUGAAAUGUGGCUCCUUGUUCCUAUUUCCCGUAUUUCACUUUUACCUUGUUGAAAAUAGUUUAUAGUAAAAUGUUGAAAUUUCCUUACGUGCCUAACUUGCUUAGUAGUCUUUUUAUUUAGUUUUCUUACUGUUAACUGUCAUAUCUUAAUUAUUACUAGUUAUUGUACGAAACUAGGUUGUGUGGGGCUCUAUAUGAUUAUUGUUGAUACUUGUCGGUGUGGCUACUUGUAUUUGUUAACAUGAGGUUUCUAAACCUAAGAUUUGCGCUAUUGUAUUUGGAUGAGGAAGGUUUGGGAGAAUAACAUUAUAUUUUGUUGAGGAUUUAAAAUAUGGCCCUAGUCGGGCGAGUGAGUUUCUUGGAUUAUUGAUCCGAUGAGUGGUUAAGAAGUUAUGCUUGUUUCUUUCAUCAUCAGUAGGGUUUGAAGGUUUUGAAUGAGGUUCUAAUCGGUAUGAGGUUUCCUACCUGCACCAGAUUUGUUUUGGGCAGUAAUGGUGGUCAGCAGUUCCUACUGUACGUGUCGAAAUGAUGGGUUAUAUCAUGUGAUUACAUCUUGAGUUAUGUGUAUAACUUGACACAUCCUUUUUAGACUUAUACAAUGUGCAGAUAUGGGAUUCGUGUACUGUAAAGAAUUCAGGAUGAUAGAGAUUGAGUUCUAAGGUUUAAGGACCAAGGUUGAAACAAGGAUCUCUAGUUAUGUUGUGGUGGCUGACUUAUGUGGAUUAGGGUGACAUGGGAUCAUCCCUGAUUUUAUGCAUAGUAAGGUUAUACCGUGAUUUGAUAACAUUGAAACAACUCUUGGCACGUUUGAGGGAUAACGUGUGUUUAAGUAGUGGAAGAUGUAACGGCCCGACUGGUCGUUUUGAGUAUCUGCACUUCGAUCGGUGUUUUGAGGGCUUGAGUAUCUCCGCAUGAUGUAUUAUGAAUUUAAAGUUAUCCGUAAUUGAUUUGGAAGAAUGAACUUGAAGAUUUAAGCUUUAUGAUGGAAGAGCUGAUCAAGUAUGACUUUUUAGUAUUUAACCUUGCGAUGGAGAUUCUUUAAUUCCAUUAGCUAUGUUGGGUGACUUUAGACAUGUGAGCGCAUCCGGGUUGUAAUUUGGAGGUCCGUGGUUGAAUUAGCCUCUAAAUGUCGAAAGUUGGAUUUUUGGAAAGUUUGAAUGAGAGUGUGAUUCCGAAAGUUGGAAUAGGUCCGUAAUGACAAAUGUGACUUGCGUGCAAAAUUUAAGAUCAAUCGGGGGUGAUUUGAUAGGUUUCGGCAUUGGUGGUAGAAAUUAAAGUCUCAAACUUCACUGAUUUUGACUUGAGGUGUGAUUAAUUGUUUCGAGGUUGUUAUGCGUGAUUGGAAGCUUCAAGUAGGUUCCUUUUGUCAUAUGGAACUUGCCCACAAAUUUUGGCGCCAUUCGAUGUUGAUUUGUAUAGUUCAGAUGCUCGGUGGUGAUUCUAAAGUUUUUGAAGUCUAGUUUGAUCUUCAUGCAUUUUGGCGUCCAAUUCGUGGUUUUAGAAGUUAUUUUGAUUAUUUGAGCACGUGAGCGAGUUCAUGUUAUGUUUCUGGACCUAGGUGCAUGAUUGGUUUGGAGCCCUGAGAGCUCGGGUGAAUUUCUAAUUAGUUUCAAAAUAAUUUUUCAUAAUUUUUUAUUAGUGGUUUUUCUUGAUAUUGUUGAGUAUAGAUGCACACCCUUGGUACUUACCUUCUAUGUGAAAAUGACUUUAUUGGUACGUUAUUCGUCAGUGCGGUUAUGAGGUGUUAUGAGGGCAUACAAUGCCGAAUAAUAGGGUGCAAGUAUUAAGACCUGUCAGUUGUGAUUUGUCCGAGGUUCGGUACCUCGUGGUGUUUGUUUGACUAAAACCUAAUGUAAAAGCAAUUGUAAAUGUUGAGUUAUUAUUUGUCCUUGUUGUAUAUGUAGUUCUGAAUUUAUGUUGUGUUCCAUUCACCCUUCUGUGUCGUUAUUAUGAUACUUGUUGUUUCCUUCCUUAUUGAAAUUACUGUAUUGUUAGCCGUAUUGUGUAGUCUUUAUGUAGAUACCUUAUUUUGUUAUUCUUAUGUUUAUAUAUUGUUAAGUUUAUUAGACCAGUGGAUGUCUUAACUAUUUCCUCGUCACUACUCCACCGAGGUUCGUUUUGAUACUUAAUGGGCAUCGCCAUGGUGUGCUUAUUCUACACUUAUGUAUAUUUUUGUACAGAUAUGGGUAUUUGAUCGCUAGUAGCAGUGUGGACCAUUGCUGAGGAGACCCAAGGUAAACCUAUUGCUGCGUUCGCAGGCUUCAGAGUCACCUUCCUAUUUUUAUUCGCACUGUUUUCUACUUAUUUCCAAAUAGUUCUAUUUAAAAGUUGUAGCAAACUCUAUAAAGCUUAUGACUUGUACCAUUGGUUUUGAAAAAUUAUAAAUUUUGUAUAGUUUCUAUUUCGAGACUGUUACAUUUUUUUUUAGGCAAACCCCUAGGCGUAGCCUAGGGUUAUUUUAUUUUAUUAAUAACAGAGAAUUUGAAAAUACAUCAGGAGAGGUAUCUCUUGCUAAAUGAUAUUUGAUCAUCCCAGAGUUUAUAAAUACUCUGUGAUGAUAUUACAAUUGAGGAAAUGAAAAAAUACGACGAGACUACCGAUUUGUUGUCUGAUAUUCAUGUUGCAUUCCUCAUUCUUUGGGUAAAAAGCUUUUGUUUAGCAAUUCUCAUUGGUGGUCGUCUUAUGAUUGCAGCUUCUACCCUGCCGUCGCAACUUCUAUCUCUUUGACGCCCCUUCUUAGCUAUUUUAGCGUGCAUUGGUGACAAAUCUCCUUUUAUUGCAGCGUCUUUACGGCAUUGCGAUAGUAUCUCCUCUUCCUCUCCUUCUUCUAAUGUUUCUUCCAUAUCUUUCUGAGGAUGUCGCUGUCCAGUGUGUGUAUUUAUAAGCAGAUUUUGUUCGCUAUCCGAUAAUGCUUCUUUGUCAAGCUUUGCGAUUGCUACCAUUGAACUACCUGCUGCUGUCGUGGAUUUUGGGAUAUAGGCUGAAGCAUUACAGUUUAACUUGCUUUUUUGAAUUUCUCCAUUGUUUGAGUUUUCUGUGUUUUGCAUUUCUGCUUUCCAGAUUACCAUUGCAGAUUUUGUUUGAGAUUCCAUGUCUUCGCUUGAACUAUCGUAAUCGACUUCUUGAUCUUCUUCUGCUGCUGAGGAACCAGAAGAGUCUUCAUCCCACCUCUCGUCAUUAUCAAAAUGUCGUUGGUCCCAGAGCUUCGAUUUUAUUACCAUGUUCCUCAUAUUAGCUAAGAUUAGUUGUUUAUUCUCUUCAUUGAAAGUUGAGAAUUCUCCAUGAUCCUUCUUCUCAACAUAUGUAAAGGGGACUGGUGGAUAACUUUGGACAAUCUGAAUCUUCCCUCCAGUCAUUUUCCCAGUUGAGUUGGAUGCUGAUAUUAAUGCUGUUUUUGCAUCUGUGAUCUUGUUUCUGGAAUUGGAGUUGUUUUUGCAGCGGUGAUCUGAAGUUGUUUCUGUACAAGGCUGAGGAUGAGCAGAAAAAUCUUUGUGAAUUGUCUGUUUAUUUCUUCCUGUUGCCUGAGCUGAUAUAUUGGCAUUGUCCCUUUUGUUAUUCUUCUGUUUGAAAUUAAGAAUCUGUUUUCCAUUUAC
rnacentral:lncRNA from 1 species